CGGCUCCAAUCCCCACCUCCUACCCCCGGCUUCUUUCCAAGCGAGGCGGCGGCGUGCGGCUCGCGAUGGGCGACGCGAGGAGACAGCGUGGCGGCGACGCGAGGAGACGGCGCCCGUGGCUAGCGACGCGACGGCAACCUCUUCCUCCGCGCUCUCCGCUGCCUUCUCUCCGGUUACUCUCCACCACGACCGUUGUGCUAGGGUUUCCUCUUGCUAGGGUUUCCUCUUGAUAGGGUGCUUGUGCUGUUCAUCUUCUCUUGCGUGGGUUUCCAAGGACGGGUGUUUCUUGAGGAUUCUGAUCUGUGUAGGGAAGGGGAGGUGGUGUGGUAAUCGGAAUGGGUUCUUGGCGAUUUGGUAUGCAGUUAGGUCCUUGCGAUAUUUUGGGGGAUUAUUGGUGGAAGAACUAUAGGUUCUUGGUUCAGCUAGUAUGAUUACACAGAGAUUUGUGUUCAUCCUUUGUGAGAGAUUUGCUAGUUUUCAGUAUUUCCCUUAAUUUCCUAUGGCAGCAGCAAUUGAUCUUGAUAUCAGUUACGAACAACAUUUGAUUUAGUUAUCCUGGAUAAAUUGGGAUGAGCUAAACCUGCCAAGGAGAUCCCGUACUUUUUGUGUGUGAGAGAGAUAUUGUGUAUAUAUAUGUGAUAGUGUGAUUCACUUUGUGGAAAUGGCCAAAAGGAAGGGAAAGGUGUAGGUUCUUGGUGGCUUAAUUUAAAGUUUGGUUCCAUUACACAGCUUGUAUUUUUAGCUUGUAGCUGUCAUGUGGAUUCUUGUGUUAUCACUUUUGGAACUUGUUUGCAAAUCGGUCUGGUGGUAGGCUGUAGCAGCUUGUAUUAAUUAAAUUUUAAAUUUCUGAAAGCCUAUUAUUUGUAUGAUGUUUCAGGUUUUCUUUCUUUAUGAAUAGCAUGUAAAAAAGAGAGAAAAUUAUUGUCUGGUCAUAGUACUAUUAAUAUGGUAAAUAAGUUAAGAAUGGAUGCACUCCUAGUCCUUAGUUCAGGGCUUGUUUAGUUUCCAAAUUUUUUUCCAAAAACAUCACAUCGAAUUUUUGGACACCUAAAUAAAGCAUUAAACAUAGAUGAACCAAAAAACUAAUUGCACAAUUAUGGAAGAAAUCUUGAGACGAAUCUUUUGAGCCUAAUUAGUCUAUGAUUACCCAUAAGUGCUAUUGGAUGUUACCAAACAAGAGAAGGCAAAGGCUUUUGCUGUUUUUAAGACCCUAGCAAAUAGAGAAAUCUUUUUGUGUGCCUGCGAAGAUGACUUAGAGUCUGCUUUAAUGUGGCUGAGAAAUGAAAUGGCCUAGCAUCACCAAAGGUUAGUUCUCGUCUUGUUGAAACUUUGGGCUACUUGUAUUGUUUGGAAAAGAACAUGUUACUGUUUUUGUGUUACUGGUAUGUGUUUUUAUUUUGCUUUGAUCAUUUGCUUGUGCCCUUUUUUCUGCUGACUGAUUUCAGGCUAUGUAGUUGAUUAAUAAAUUUAGGUGUAUGCUAAGAUUCUUGAAGUAUGGUAGUACUAUUUAAGAGAAAAUGGAACACUGACAUUUACUGCUGUUUUAAACAGUAUAGUAAUUCAUGUUUAAGUAAAUUGAUUAGUACAUUCAGUUCAAUUCAGUACUCUAACAAUAUGAUGUCAGUUUGGAUAGAUAAUGAUGUUCAGUUUGGAUAGCUGUUUGGCUUAUAGUACUAAUCUAUAUCAAUUAAUGUUUAAGGAUUAGAUCAUGCUUUUUUUUNNNNNNNNNNNNNNNNNNNNNNNNNNNNNNNNNNNNNNNNNNNNNNNNNNNNNNNNNNNNNNNNNNNNNNNNNNNNNNNNNNNNNNNUGAUUUCCUUUGAAAGAAUAUGAAAAAACUAUGUAUUAUUUCUUGAAGACAUGAGCCUCAUUGUGGUGCUCUUCAAGUUGUGCUUUUUGUUAUUUCUUGAAGACAAAACUGAUAGUGCAAUCUUUUAUGUCUCCAAUAUCAAAAUGAUUAUCAUACUGAUUCUACUCCACACUGAUUUAUAAACAUUUGUCAUUUUAUCUUAAUUGUGGGUUUGCAGUUUGCAUAAAGCAUGCGAAGGAGGGAAAGAACCCAUGGAGUUGCACACAAUGGAGGAGCUGUCUCAACAUUCGAAUCUGAAUAUUAUGGUUGUUGAUCAUGCCAGUUUGGCACUUGUGACAAACUGUUGAUUUGCUGUUAAGGGUCUUCUAUGUCCAGCCCUUUUGGCACUUGAAAGAGUGUUGUCUGUCCUUUGGCACUUAAAACUAUUAAUUUGCUAUGUUGUUAAGCCCUUUGGGCACUUACGACAAACUCAUAUUGGAGCUGCUGUUAAGCCCCUUGGGAACUUUGUGACAAACUGUAUAUUGGUGCUAGCUGUUUUUAUUCCAGCUCAAACCGAAUGCACUUUUUUUGAAGAGCUGGAUUAAGAAAAGGAGUAGAUUCAAACCACAUGUGGUUUUAGAUUUUUAGUGAAUACAGUUCCAUUCAAACCUGGUCUAGAAUGGUUUCUGAACUGGUUUGGAAUUUGGGCUGCCGAACAAG
rnacentral:lncRNA from 1 species